rnacentral:lncRNA from 1 species
GUGGUGUGUGCUUGUCUGGGAUGGGCCGCCAUGUCUCAUUUGAGAAUGCUGUAGCAUGGAAAGUAGUUGGUGAGGACAACAAUGUGCACUGCCUCGCCUUCUGCUUCGUCAACUGGUCUUUCGUGUGAUCAUCCUCCCAAGGCAAUCCGUGUCCGUCACACGCAGCUCCAUUUUUGCUCUCUGUAGAAGAGAACCGGCGCCUCUGGAAAGUAGUUGUUCGCUAUCUUUAACUAGUUUGUUUCUUGAUUUGAAGAGCCAGCAUCCGGAAUAAUUCUGCCUAGUGUAAAUCUGCUCACAUUCCCACUAAUUUACCCAGGCAAGAAGCUGGCUGCUGUCUGUCUGAUUGAGGUGUAUGAUAUGGAAUGCUAGUAGCGAAAUUGGGACAGGGCUGAUGUAUAAUCAGUGUUUGUGUGUGAAGCGCUUUGGCCGGUUCCUAUUUGACUAUGUUGCGCGGGUACUUCAGAAAGCGCACAUGUCCACCCGGAUACUGACCCUAUUUUGGAUACUGCCCUGAUAUGUAUCCUAUAAGUAUCCCUUGAUUUUUUUGAUUUAAAAGAAAACACGUCUGCUUUUCUCUCUCCCUUAAUCAAAGUACUCCUUUGGUUUGAAGGAAUUCUAUAGGAUAGACUAGCAAAAAGGCACGUUGCACGAGAAAAGAAUACCACAUGCUUUUAAUUUACAAAGGAGAAAACUUUGUUUUUGUCACUCUAGUUUUUGUCUACUUUGUUUAUG